rnacentral:lncRNA from 1 species
AAUUUAUUCAUUUACUUAUAAUAAUAGUAAUGGUUGUAUCUUUUAGUAAUCUACUAAUCUUGUUUGGGUGGCAGAAUAUUGUAAAUUUAAUCGUUUGUAAAGCAGUGAGGUAAUAGUCGAGUACUUAUGGAUGAGCGAGCCACUUAUUGGUAAGUGAAAAUGGGCUUCAAAUGAAAUAGAUGAAUUUAGUCAUUUACAUAUAAUAAUAGUAAUGGUUGUAUCUUUUAGUAAUCUACUAAUCUUGUUUGGAUGACAGAAUAUUGUAAAUUUAAUUGUUUGUAGAGCAGUGAGGUAACAGUCAGAGUACUUAUCGAUGAGCGAGCCACUUAUUGGUAACUACCUUAUAACAUUGAGUUUAUAGCUUUGUUAUAUUUUCAUGUAUAAUUUUAU